UGGGGAAUUUUGGACAAUGGGCGAAAGCCUGAUCCAGCCAUGCCGCGUGUGUGAAGAAGGUCUUCGGAUUGUAAAGCACUUUAAGUUGGGAGGAAGGGUUGUAGAUUAAUACUCUGCAAUUUUGACGUUACCGACAGAAUAAGCACCGGCUAACUCUGUGCCAGCAGCCGCGGUAAUACAGAGGGUGCAAGCGUUAAUCGGAAUUACUGGGCGUAAAGCGCGCGUAGGUGGUUUGUUAAGUUGGAUGUGAAAUCCCCGGGCUCAACCUGGGAACUGCAUCCAAAACUGGCAAGCUAGAGUAUGGUAGAGGGUGGUGGAAUUUCCUGUGUAGCGGUGAAAUGCGUAGAUAUAGGAAGGAACACCAGUGGCGAAGGCGACCACCUGGACUGAUACUGACACUGAGGUGCGAAAGCGUGGGGAGCAAACAGGAUUAGAUACCCAUAGUCCCUGAGCGGGCUGGCAAGGCGCAU
rnacentral:rRNA from 1 species